AGCGGAGGAAAAGAAACCAACAGGGAUUGCCCCAGUAAUGGCGAAUGAAGCGGCAAGAGCCCAAAUUUGAAAUCGGGCAACCGAGUUGUAAUUUGGAGACGGGACACUAGAGAGGAGGAAGGCGAUUAAGUGCCUUGGAACAGGCUGCCGUAGAGGGUGAGAGCCCCGUGAAUCGCUGGAGACCGAUCAAUUAGUGCCCGCCGAAGAGUCGAGUUGUUUGGGAAUGCAGCUCUAAGUGGGUGGUAUAUUCCAUCUAAGGCUAAAUAUUAGCGAGAGACCGAUAGCAAACAAGUACAGUGAUGGAAAGAUGAAAAGAACUUUGGAAAGAGAGUGAAAUAGUACGUGAAAUUGUUGAAAGGGAAGGGUAUUUGAUCCGACAUGGUGUUUAGCAGCGGCCCGUUCCUCGUGGAUGGGUGCACCUGGUUUACACUGGGCCAGCAUCGGUUCUGGGAGCCAUAUACGGGGUUCGUGAAUGUGGCCCUUCGAUUCUGUCGGAGGGUGUUAUAGCGCGGGCAUCUUGUGGCUAGCCGGGACCGGGGACUGCGGUGACUUGUCACCAAGGAUGCUGGCAGAACGAGCAAAUACCACCCGUC
rnacentral:rRNA from 1 species